CCUAAUGCUGGUAAAGCUGUCCCACCUGGCUUCCUAAGGAAACUGGUUCUUUCUUUCUCAGCUCCUCCCUAAUUGUGGACUGGAGGAACUAAUUACCCUGAAACAAGGAUUUGGAGUGCUGUGGGGGGUUUUCCACUGCCUUGAAUGAGAGCGGGAUUGAACACUUUGUGACAGAUUAAAAAGGCUAUGUACUCAUUUGAACUAAAAUUACCCGGCUGCCAGCCUGCUUGAUAGCAAUUACAUCUAAAGAGAGAAAACCACUGAACUUCAUGUAUUGGUGUCAGAGCAGGCUGAGGGAGGCAACAUGGGGCACGGCCAUAAGUGGGCCAUGGGCUGUGAUGUCCCACUGCAGGGCAGGGAUCCUCUACCAGCAGGGGGCUGCAGAGCCAAAAAAGCCUCAAAUCCACCUUCCUACCCCGCUGAGUGCUCUGCAAUAUGUGCGAUUUCAGUCAUUCCUGGCACUCGGCUCUUCUGUUAUUCGUUCUGCAAUUUUGAACUGCCUUAAAAGGAGACGCCUUCGAUUUGGUUCAGAUAUGUAAUUCGUGCUUUGUCGACAGGUUUGUUUCUCUUACAGCGUGCCAUCACAUAACUAUCCUCAGAAAUGUUUGAUUUUUUUUUUUUUUUUUAAUGCCAAUAACAGAUCUGGGAUGUGUGUAGCUAUAUACAUACACAGUAAAUACGAAAAUCAGGUCCAUGAUCGUACUGGCUACAUGCACACCUCAUAGUUACCAGUGCUUUAAAAAAAGCCAGUACAAAGCUUUCUGUGAUUACAGCUUGCUUUAAACAAUAUAGCCCUUUAAUGAUAAAAUAAUAAAUAAUGUAUCUAAAUAAAUAAAAAGCGAAAUACUUUUAUUAGGUUGUUGAUAAUGUCAGCCUGAUAAAAGAAUCUGGAGUCAGGUGUCGAUGAAACAGUGUUUUGAAUUCUCCUUUACCUGCGUGGCAUUUCAAAAUGCCCAGUGUCAAGCCUGGAUAUUAUGAUAUAUGUUUCUUAUUUAGUAUUACAGUUCUUAGAGCUUCUGUGCUUUGUUAUUUGAUACCUUGGCUGUUUGCUUAAACUCUGUAUGCAAAUGCAGAGCUCAAAUACAAAGCUGGAGUGUUAAGAUUAAAGGAGAACUAGGAUUCCAAGAUUAAAAAGUGAGAUGAAUGUUUCCUGUAAAUAUGUGUCAUUAGUCUGAUUCUAAAAGGAUGUUUAGCAAUGAUGAGGAAA